UGGCGGUUGGUUUUGGCGGGAGGAGAGGCGGCCUCAGGUUUGUCGAGCGGGACUGAUCAUGUCUUACACUCAGGACACGGCGAUCAUCCGGCCGCAGGAAAUUCAAAUUUCAUCAACUGCCAUGGUGAGAUUCAAGACCAUGUCCCAGAGCAUUAGUUUGGGCCUCUGGAACACAACUCCAGUGAUAUUACAACCAAGUUGCUAACUUAUUCAAGCUUAAAACUCACUGACUGAUGUGCCAGAAAUAAAGGCCUACAGAAGUAGCAAUGGACUGAAAAUAUAUCAGAGAAAGAGUAUCCUGGCUGACUGAAUGCAGUGUACUGGAAGGGAAGAGAGAAUGCCGGAGAGAACUGAGGAAACUGAAUAAUCUUUCGAGGUCAACACAGUAAAUGAAGAUUUUUAAUAUCUGAAUGUUUGCAGAAUUCAAUUUUUGUUGUAAAUCUUAAUAGAAAUAAAGCUGAUCCACUAA